UUUCAUUGCGGUCACGAUCAGAAGGAGUGGGAGCAGGAGAGUGCAAAGACAUGUUACGAAUAACGUGUAGAAACCCAUCUCGAGGAGAAGUGUACGGAUGGACCGCAGGAGUGGACUGCUCUCCGAUAGAGUUGACCAGGGUGUUUGGUCCCAGGAUAAUGCGGGUGCUCUGGGGCCACUGCGUGCAGACCAAGUUGUGUUCUCCUAGCAAUAUUUUACGGAUGUUUUCUGCACCAGUUACCCGGAUAACAGGCUUUCCUAAAAGACAAAGGCGGAUAAAGGACAGAGACUGGUGGGAGUGACAGGACCUGGAGAGUGGCCUGCAGUGUGUCAAGUUGUGGUGUCAUUGUUGGUGGGAAUUGAUCCUUGUCACAUGUCCUGUUCUGGCAGAUAACUGGAAGGAAAGGCGGUCAAAGGAGGUGUUGGCUUUGGGGAUGACCAGUGAGACUGAGAGGCUAUACUCAGCUUUGUCUCAGGUUAGUAAGUUGGUGCUCUGUUGAUAUCCCUCUAGUGGGGUGGGGACUGUGCUUUCGCAAAGUGGGUGGGGUUAUUUCCAUCAUGGUUGGCCUUGUCCGUGGGUAUCGUCCCCCGAAACCCCCUGUCUCAGCCUUCGGUAUCUAUGCUGUAAUAGUCUAUGUGCUGGGGGGCUAGGGACAGUCUGUCCUAUCUGGUGAAAUUCUCUUGUCUUAACUGGUGUCCUGUGUGAACUUAAGUAUACUCCCUCUAAUUAUCUCUCUCUCUCCUUCCCUCCCUCUCUCCCUCCCCUCCUGGAGGACCUGAGUCCUAGGACUACCUAGCUUGAUGACUCCUGGCUUUCCCCAGUCCACCUGGUCAUGCUGCUGCUCCAGUUUCAACUGUUCUACUUGCAGCUAUGGAACCCUAACCUGUUCACCGAACGUGCUACCUCGUCCCGGACCUGCUGUCUUCGACUCCCCCCCCCCCUCUCUCCCUUCCUCUCUCCCUCUGUACCGCACCUGCUGUCUCGACCUCUGAAUGCUUGGCUAUGGCCAACUGACUGAAAUUUACAGUACUCCUGAGGUGCUGACCUGUUGCACCCUCUACAACCACUGUGAUUAUUAUUUGACCCUGCUGGUCAUCUAUGAAUCUUUGAAAAGCUUGAAGAACGAUCUGGCCUGAAUGGCCAUGUACUCUUAUAAUCUCCACACGGCACAGCCAGAAGAGGACUGGCCACCCCUCAGAGCCUGAUUCCUCAUUAGGUUUCUUCCUAUGUUCCUGCCUUGCUAGAGAGGUUUUCCUCUCCACCGUGCUUCUACAUCUGCAUUGCUUGCUGUUUGGGGUUUUAGACUGGGUUUCUGUAUAAGCACUUUGUGGCUUUAUAAAUACAUUUGAUUUGCAAAUUGAGGUCUGACUUACAUGGACCAGAGGCAUCUAUUUGUUAACAGAUAGCUCUGCCAUGGACCAUUGUGAUGCAUUCUUGGAGCUCACCACAGCAGGCUACAUUGGUAGACUCCAUAGACACACCUGCUUAUGAAAAGUCUGGGACCUCCCAUUCAUUACCAGGCAUGUUCUCACACACUACCCCAUUGCCCUGUCAAUCAUUCUAAGGCCAUGCACAUGAACCCUGGUCCCUCUCUAAUUAACGAGCAAGGGAUUUUUAACUUUAUUCCUGAAUGCCAUUAGGUCCUAACGACCCUCCAUUCAUGACCAUGUCGUAUGGCGUCUAAACCCAUACAAUUAAAAUUGGUCCUCUGUAGCUCAGUUGUUAGAGCAUGGCACUUGCAACACCAGGAUAGUGAGUUUGAUUUCUGGGACCACCCACACAUAAAAUGUGUGCAUGCAUGACUAUAAGUCGCUUUGGAUGAAAUCGUCUGCUAAAUGGUAAAUAUUAUAUUAUUAUGUGAUGUUGAUUGACCAUACACCCCAGUUCUCAACUUAUUAAAUAGUUUAUACCUGGUGCUAACAUGCAUCCAACAUUUUGAGACCGGUGUACAGAUUAAAAUACACAUUUUGAUCUGAUUGUGAUCAAAUCUUCCUGACCACGUCCAGAAGCAGUCAGGCACACGUUGUGUCGGGAUGUUUUGCAAGUGUAGUCGGAUCCAGAAAAUGAACCAUUUAAUCGUCAUUAUUCAGCCUUCUAAAAUCAUUGAUUCAGGGGAUAAAUAUGUGUUUAAAAAAAAUAAAAAUAAAAUAUUUUGAAAGAAUGUGUCUCAAAUCAUUCAAAUACAGGGAGGGACCAGGAAAUCUGGUCAAUAUGUGGACACAUUGGACAGAUAAGAGCCACAUUUUUAUACCAUGUGUAGACGCAUGUCUGGGCACGAUCAGGACAAAGGACACAUUAUAGCACCAGGUAUAAACAGCCAUGGUGAUUUUAAGACUGCCUCCCCUAUUUAUUCAUUUGCAACUAGAGCGACCUGCAUUAUCCACCACUUUCGAUUUGUUCUUUGCCUGGCCAUUUCAGCACUUGCUCCUCAACAGAGCUCAGGCACAGUUGUAUGUCAAAUCCAGGUAACAGCAGUAAAGGCUAAGGAAGGUCAGUCGUAGUCCUAACCCUUCCCCACACACCAAGGGCCAGACAGAGACAGACACUCACAAGAGAGGACAAUAACCAGAGACACCUCUAAUGGAGGUGAAGAUAGACAGCAGGUGUGGGUUUAGGCUACUGUAUGUGUAUGAUGGAGGGUAUGGAGUUACUACACCUACAGCAGUAGGCAGGUAAUGUAAGCAACACGACCACCCGCUAAAAGGAUGAGACUAAACAUGUCAUUGAUCUCAUUUGUUUGAUUGUAAAAUAGGGAGAAGACAGUAAAAGUAGAUCUCAGGGAUGGGGUCAAUUUUGAAUUUCGCAACCCAUACAUUUACAUUUAAAUUGGACAUAAAUGCAAAGAAUACAUCAAAUAAUCAAAUAUGACAAAGGGAUAUUUCCAGAGUGCACUGUAAUGAUUUAAAACCUGUUUUAGGAGAAUGAGUUUUAAAAAUACUGUAUUAUACAUGGUAUUGGUAUACUGUGUAGAAUAAAUGAGGGAGGUCAAAUUCAAAAGUAAAACAAUUAAGGGCUCUAUUCAAUCUGUAACGAGGAAGCGUUACAGAUUCCGCAAUAAACAUUUGAAGGUCAUUUGUAAUUGAGCCGACAUAUGCAGCGCUUACCUUGAAUGGAGUCUCCGCUAACGGGGGAACAUUGCUGUAAUUUUAAAAAAACAAUAUAAAUCAUUUCGAACAAUACAAAACAUACACAUGCAAAAGACAACAUACAGAUGCACACAAACAUCAACAACAUCACACCUGCCCAGACCCACCUGUUCUCACCCUUAUCUACAGUGUCUGCACUACUCUCUGCCACGUCCUCAAAUUGCACAAUUUUCUUUCCGUUGCACACGCUCUUUCAAUAUUUAGAUAAUGAAGCGUAUGAUUUUUCCAUUGUCUUAACAAUGGAGGAUUGGUGUUGAUUUCCAUUUUUUAAGCAUUCGUUUUUUUCAAGAUAAUUGAUGAAAAGAGUAUCGUUCAACCCAUCGGGUAUCUCACUGCACCCUCAUAUGACAUGUCUUGAAAUAUGCAGACAGAUUAAAAAUACAUUUACAUUGCCUUUACAUUUCAGUCACGCUAUAAAACUAAACUUCUGCGAUGCAGGUUGAAUAAAGCCCUACAUUUGAUUGAGUUUCAUUCAAUUAAAUUCCACUUCCUUCAAUUCAAAUACAAUUCAAAAUAUGCUUCCUGUGGGGUGUUGCCAAUUCAAAUUCUAUUCAAAUUGAAGUCUUUCAUUGGAAUUAAAGAGCA